UACGAAGGGUGCAAGCGUUGUUCGGAAUUACUGGGCGUAAAGGGUUCGUAGGCUGAAAUGUAAGUCAAGUGUGAAAUCCCCGAGCUUAACUUGGGACGUGCAUUUGAAACUAUGUUUCUUGAGUAUCGUAGAGGGUAGUGGAAUUGUAGGUGUAGGAGUGACAUCCGUAGAGAUCUACAGGAACAUCAGAGGCGAAAGCGACUACCUGGCCGAUAACUGACGCUGAGGAACGAAAGCGUGGGGAGCAAACAGG
rnacentral:rRNA from 1 species